UAUAGCUCAGCUGGGAGAGCACCUGCCUUACAAGCAGGGGGUCACAGGUUCGAGCCCUGUUA
rnacentral:tRNA from 1 species